UACAGAGGGCCCGAGCGUUGUUCGGAUUCACUGGGCGUAAAGGGUGCGUAGGUGGCAGGGUAAGUCGGAUGUGAAAUCUCCGAGCUCAACUCGGAAAUGGCAUUGGAAACUACCCAGCUCGAGGGUUGGAGGGGGGACUGGAAUGCUUGGUGUAGCAGUGAAAUGCGUAGAUAUCAAGCGGAACACCAGUGGCGAAGGCGAGUCCCUGGACAACUCCUGACACUGAGGCACGAAAGCUAGGGGAGCAAACAGG
rnacentral:rRNA from 1 species